CUUCGCCGUGCUUCUAAACCCUAGUUUAUCUUUUCUCCGAGGGAGGCUGCUGAUCGAGAGCGAGGGCUAGAGGAUGAGGGCGAAGUGGAAGAAGAAGCGUAUGAGGAGGCUCAAGAGGAAGCGCCGAAAGAUGAGGCAGAGAUCCAAGUAACCAGUUGAAGGCGAGGUUGGACUUCACUUUGUCAUAUCGGUCAUUCGUUUGCUUAAGACUAUUGAGCAAGCCUUGGCAGUGUAUGCUUGGAGUAGUGCAUUCUCCCACACUGGAUUGAUUAGUUCUUUGUCUUUUUAAGUUAGAGAACUCAUUGUUGGUUAAGUUUUUUGUUCUGCUCAACUUCUUCCCUAAUUCUGUUCGACUGCGUUAUGUUCAGACCUAUUUUUUGUGCUACACUUAUGAACAUUAACUUUGCAAUGAUCCUGGUUUUUAAGCUGCUA